rnacentral:tRNA from 1 species
GCCAAUGUGGUGUAGUGGUUUGAGUACUAGACUAUGAAUCUGGAGACCAGAGUUCAAAUCCCUGCUCAGCCA